rnacentral:rRNA from 1 species
GAUGAACGCUGGCGGCGUGCCUAAUACAUGCAAGUCGAGCGAACAGACGAGGAGCUUGCUCCUUUGACGUUAGCGGCGGACGGGUGAGUAACACGUAGGUAACCUACCUAUAAGACUGGGAUAACUUCGGGAAACCGGAGCUAAUACCGGAUAAUAUUUCGAACCGCAUGGUUCGAUAGUGAAAGAUGGCUUUGCUAUCACUUAUAGAUGGACCUGCGCCGUAUUAGCUAGUUGGUAAGGUAACUGCUUACCAAGGCAACGAUACGUAGCCGACCUGAGAGGGUGAUCGGCCACACUGGAACUGAGACACGGUCCAGACUCCUACGGGAGGCAGCAGUAGGGAAUCUUCCGCAAUGGGCGAAAGCCUGACGGAGCAACGCCGCGUGAGUGAUGAAGGUCUUCGGAUCGUAAAACUCUGUUAUUAGGGAAGAACAAACGUGUAAGUAACUGUGCACGUCUUGACGGUACCUAAUCAGAAAGCCACGGCUAACUACGUG